UAGAGUGAAUUGUUAAUGUUCGUCAUUUUUAUGCUUGCCAUCUCUACAUUGUUUAACUGUGGGAUGAAAGCAGUUCCACAGUCCCCCUCCCCAGAUUCUUGAGUUUUUGGGUGAGGGGCUGUAGGUUUGAUUACAGACACAUCCUAUCUGGAAGGUCUGUUUGAUGUAAGCUUCCUGCCCAGCAGGAGGACACACACACACACACACACAUAUAUAUACAUACAGUGCCUCGUCUUUGUAACCAAGGGGGGUUAAGAGGGGAGGUACGUGUUGUAAACUAUUGUGUGAACUGUAACAGUUUGUCAAUAAAUAGCUGCGAGGGAAGCUGCUCUUUGAAGGACUUUGGGCUGGAGACAGGUUAGGAGCGUGAGCUCCAAGAGCUGGUUCUUGACCAAAGACUUCCCUUGCGCAAGUAAUCGAUCGAACACUGUUGCCUUGUUUUUCUUUCAUGGGAAUAAGUCCUGGAUACAGCGGGGUCUGAGUUUAGACCCAACAUUUAUUUGGUCCUCCGAGCCGGAUCCUAACACAUCGCAUUCACCGAGGAGAGGGAGAGGACGCCACCGCAGUCUGCUAGCAGCCAUCGUCUGGGACGAUUGACGAAAGCCCUGGUACUUUGCUUUGUUCCGGGCCGGACAGUUUGCGCCUGAACUCCCCUCGGGAUGGAUGGCGAUUGACGGGAACCAGAGACUCUUCCCAUGAACGGAAACAACACGAACAGUGAGUACAGAAGGCCUUAGAGAGCGGCUACGUGCCCGUGCGUUAAAGCAGGUACGUGAGUGCGCAAGCUGUGCGUGUAGACGCAAGCUGCCUGGUUUCUCCGCCAGUGUUUUUGUUUGUUUUUAAUCUUUUUUGAUUUAUUUAAGGAGGGUUAAGUCGGUUUCUCCACCGAAGGAGGUUUAAAGAGGUUUCUCCACCGAAUUGAAGGAGGAUGUCGUGAGAUGCCAUGACGAGAGAAGUGACUGAGAGGAUCGUCCACAAGAUGGAAGCUGAGGCCUGGAGAGAGUCUUCAGGAGGAUCAGAGAUCACCUUCAGCACAGAGAGCUGUGCUACUGGGCUUCCAGGAGAUCGUCAUGAGGAGACUCUGCACAGCAAAAUCUUAAAUAAGAUGAAAGACUUUCGACGUUGACGUUGAGGAAGACAACUAAGGUGUACGACGUGCUCUGCCUUUAAAAUCUUCAGCAACGUUGAACCAUGAGAACUUGAGGGAGCGUGCCAAGCUCCAAAAAGUGACGGCGCAGAGGAGGUCCAGCGAUGGACUUGUGGUUCUGUGAACAGCACAAAUGCCAGGUGACUGUGAAAUAACUAACAGCACUUUUUUUUCCACAAGUGAAGCCAGUAACUUACUAUCCUAACAGAUUAGCUCUAGUUGCUUGUGCUUUACCUCCAUGCGUGAGAUCAGUAUGUGCAGCAGCUUACGCUGUACAAUGUUUCAGGAAAUAGUUUAUUUCACCUUUUUGACACUGUUAGUUCCACACGAGGUAGAUGUCUACUACUGCAGACUAAAAUUACAUUUCUGUCACCUACAAGACGCUUCUCUUUAAUGUUACUGUUACUCUCAUAACCAUACAUAACCAUAAAGUGAUGCACAAUUCUGAAUCCGUCAAACCUUUUGCCAACGAAAGAAGAGGGCACUUCUCAUGAGUGUAGACAGCACGUAGAGAGGAGUGUAAGCCGAGGGAUGACUUAAUAGAUGUGCCACUUGGUGAGGGAAAGGUUUGGUUUGUUGAUGGUUGAGUUUUACAACAGUAGAGGGACAGACUAAAACAGGUUUUACUGUAGUAGAUAAUGGGAAAGUUAUCUGUGUAGGACAACUAGCAUGUUUCAUAUUUGCUUGAGCAGCAGAGAUGCUAGCUUUAACGGAAGCGUGUAAAGCUGCAGAGAAACAGGAUGUGACAAUAUACACUGAUAGCCAGUAUGCAUUUGCUACAUUACAUUUCUUUAUGAUGCAGUGGGCAAGACGAGGUGUGACAGCCUCUACAGGGAAACCUCUAGAAGACGCCAAACUCUUGCAAAAUCUGCUGGAGGCAGAGUUAUUACCCAGUAGAAUUGGUGUUUGCAAAUGUGUAGCACACAUGUGAGGGAAAGAUCCAGUUGCAUUAGAGAAUGCUUUUGCAGAUAAGAUCGCGAAAGAAGCAACUUUAGGAGAACAUGUUGUUAACGUUUUAGCAGUGCAAUGCCAGCAGACAUUGGCUAUUAUGCGGGAUGCACUGGUAGACAUGCAGGGCCACUCAUCUACUGCAGGAAAACAGUUGUGACUUACAGUAGGAGCGAGCUUGCAGGAUGGUGUUUGUUAUCUGUGUGAUAAACCAAUACUGCCUUAGACUUUAUAUAGGACUGCUGCUAUUUUGCGCCAUGGGCUUUGCCAUGUCGCAACAGGAGGGAGAUAAUGAGUAGUUUAUACUUUAAGAUUAAAUACCCUUAAAAAAAUUUUUUUGCAGGUCAUGUAUGAUAUGUUGCAAGCACAAUUCUCGGGGUAAUUUGAGACCUAAGAGAGGGAAAUUCCCCAGACCCGGUCACCCAUUUUAAGUUAUUCACAUGGACUUUAUAGAGCUGUCCAACUGUAAUAACUAUAAGUACUGUUUAGUGAUAGUGUGUCCUUUUUCAAAGUGGGUAGAAAUUGUACAAACUAGAAAAGCAGAUGCCAUUUCGGUUGCCAAAGCAAUAUGUAAGAAUAUCAUUUGGAACACGGGAUUCCCGAGACCAUUUAUAGUGAUAAUGGUCCACAUUUUGUAAAUGAAGUGAUUAGAUUAAUGGCACAACAUUUAGGGAUAACACUAAAACAUCAUUGUUUAUAUCACCCACAAAGUGCAGGGUUGAUAGAAAGAACUAAUGGAACAGUAAAGUUAAGACUUAGGAAGAGACACGCAGGACAUGGUUAAACUGUAUAGAAUUAGUUAAGAUGUAUAUGAAUGUACAUGAGGAUUACUCCAACAGAGAAUGGUCUGACUCUUUGAGAUUAUAUAUGUUAGAGCAUUUGGAGUUCUAGUCUUCUGUAGUGAUGAUAGAAGAGCAGAAGAGAGAGCAUAUUAGCAGAUGAGAUGCUUAAAAUGUUUAAAAACGAAGAAGUCUUGAGAACAAAUGAUCUGCCAGAUGAUUCUGUUCUCUGCAGGAGCAGAGUCUGAAGUCUGGAGAUUGGACGUUGACAAGGCCAUGGAGAGGAAGUGCUGGUCCAGUCCACGGUGGGAAGGUCCCUAUCGGGUGCUGCUGACGACGACCACAGCGGUGAAGAUUGCUGAAAGGAGUACUUGGAUACAUCAAGCGCACUGCAAGAAGGUGACGCACAUCCAGGCCAGCUCGGGGUAAGUGGCAGGAAGACCGGGUACAAAGGGGGGGGAAAGCCUCCAGGGCCCCUCGUCUCAAUCCGGUGAAGAAACCAACUGAGCCACAGGUACUCAUCAGAAUGGCUGGGAAUGUGCUGUGCGCCUUCUUGUGCCUGUGGACCCAGAGUGGGAUGACAGGAAGCGCACUGGGACAGAGCAAACCACACCCAGUACCCGCAUGGGGUUCUCAACCAACUACCUGUGGCAGUUUGUGAACACAACCGCUCACAUAAAGAACGAGACCAAUGGCUAUGCUUGUGAUGCCACUGGUUACACAUUCUUCUGGACUGUGGCCAUAUAGCAUCACUGAGAGUGAGACAGUUUGUUGGUUGCCGUAGCAACACAUCCAGGAGUAAACGUACUUGGAACACUGCCAACUUUUCAACUUCUGAACCUGAAUGGACGGUUGAUUCACCAGUAGCUGGGAAGGUGAACUGCUCUGGUAUGACAGAUCUGCUAGUCUGACUCCAAGAAUCUGACUCGCUGCAGGACAUUGAACAGCUAAAUGAACUGGAAAUAGGCCAGUUGCCUAUGUGUAUGAAGGGCAAUGGAUUAGUCCAAGUUGGAGAUUUACCAUGAAAUUUGUGCAACGUCACCUAUUCUUUGUGUCCUCUGUGAGAAGGAUGCAAACAGAGAAGCCUUUUGUCUACAUUUACAUCAUGAACACUUCUGUAAGCUGGUUGAGGCUUUGAGCCAAGAAGAUCAAAACAGCUUGAUCCAAUUUCCUUUACAAAGCUUUUCCUGUGGUGACAACAGGACAGGAGAAGAGUUGUGAAUGCAGAUAAUACACCAGUUGACUCUAACCCCCACAGGAUGCCCACAGUGAGAAGGUUUGGGGGAGUUGAUAGGAGUCAUAAAGAAGGGUGUUGACCAGGCUACAGCUUUGAAGUUAGCUGAGAGCCACAUGGACAAACAAUAAAGUCAACUGAUGUGUUUGAAUGUCUGUGUCUGUAUACAGUUGGAUUGUAGUGACAUUUGAUUUUUGAGUUUGUUGAUUCUUCUUGUUUGACUGUGACAUUCAGUUGUUUACUUGCAGGAAUACAUAAUGAAUCGCACGACAGGAGUAGAUGCACCACAAGGCUGGAGAGCUUGGUGAAUGUCUGGUCCUUGGUGGCAUCUUCUUUUGAAAAUAUUAACUCUUGUUUUUGGACUGUUGACACUUGAUUUGCUUAUGUAUAGGAUGCAUUUUACCGUGUAUAAGAUCAAUGGGAACUAAGAUGAUUUCUAAUACAUUUGUUGAUUAUGUACCUUUACAACAGUAUGAAUUGACUGAAAUGGAUGAUAUGACAGAAGCCUGUGUAUAAAUGACGCCUGCGCUGAAAUUGUCAAGCAAGAGGUGCAUGGCUAAGAACAUACUACACAGGAAUAAUUUGGAGCAUAAAAAUCACAAAACAGGAGGGAAUGUUAGAGUGAAUUGUUAAUGUUCGUCAUUUUUAUGCUUGCCAUCUCUACAUUGUUUAACUGUGGGAUGAAAGCAGUUCCACAGUCCCCCUCCCCAGAUUCUUGAGUUUUUGGGUGAGGGGCUGUAGGUUUGAUUACAGACACAUCCUAUCUGGAAGGUCUGUUUGAUGUAAGCUUCCUGCCCAGCAGGAGGACACACACACACACACACACAUAUAUAUACAUACAGUGCCUCGUCUUUGUAACCAAGGGGGGUUAAGAGGGGAGGUACGUGUUGUAAACUAUUGUGUGAA